AGCCGUUUAGUCAAGUGGUUAAGACAUGCGACUCAAGUUCGCACAUGCAUCGGUUCAAUCCCGGUAGCGGCUA
rfam:Pseudocohnilembus persalinus scaffold466, whole genome shotgun sequence.